AUUCCAGCUCCAAUAGCGUAUAUUAAAGUUGUUGCAGUUAAAAAGCUCGUAGUUGGAUUUCUGGUCUAAGCGCCUGGCCGGCUCCGCAAGGGGUCGUGCAUGGGUACCUUGGUCCAUCCUCAGGGGAACUGUCACUGGUAUUCAUUUAUCGGUGUUGGGACGCCUGUCGUUUACUGUGAACAAAUUAGAGUGUUCAAAGCAAGGUGUACUUGAAUACAUUAGCAUGGAAUAAUAAGAUAGGACUUUGGUGGUUCUUUUUGAUAUUUUGUUGGUUUGCACGCCAAAGUAAUGAUUAAUAGGAGCAGUUGGGGGUAUUCGUAUUCAAUUGUCAGAGGUGAAAUUCUUGGAUUUAUAGAAGACGAACUACUGCGAAAGCAUUUACCAAGGAUGUUUUCAUUA
rnacentral:rRNA from 1 species